GCAAUCGAUAACCGUUGAAUCCACAUUCUAUUCUGAGACAGUAUAUACCGUAGCUCAACCACGGCAGUGACUGAGUGGCACUUCCGUAAAUCUAUCCCUUAACUCUAAAGCAUUUCUUCUCUUUGUUUCUCUCUCUCAUUCAUAUUUUGUUGACGUAGACACACAGAGGAGCUCUUUAUUUCUCUCUAUCAACAGCGUGAUCUCGAUCUAGAGCUUCUUCUUGUUUAAUUCUUAUUUUCAAUAUGCCACUUAGACUUGAAAUUAAGAGGAAACUUGCUCAAAGAUCAGAGAGAGUAAAAUCCGUAGAUCUCCAUCCUACUGAACCAUGGAUUCUAGCAAGUUUGUAUUCUGGAACUGUCUGCAUCUGGAACUACCAGUCACAGACCAUGGCUAAGUCAUUUGAGGUCACUGAGUUGCCAGUUAGGUCAGCAAAGUUUGUUGCACGCAAGCAAUGGGUUGUCGCUGGAGCUGAUGACAUGUUUAUUCGUGUAUACAAUUACAACACCAUGGAUAAGGUCAAAGUAUUUGAGGCACAUACCGAUUACAUUAGAUGUGUCGCUGUCCAUCCUACUCUUCCAUAUGUGUUGUCAUCAUCUGAUGAUAUGCUCAUAAAGCUUUGGGACUGGGAGAAGGGUUGGGUGUGUACUCAGAUAUUUGAGGGACAUUCCCAUUAUGUCAUGCAAGUGACCUUUAAUCCCAAAGAUACGAACACUUUUGCCAGUGCAUCUCUUGACCGUACCAUAAAGAUUUGGAACCUUGGCUCCCCCGACCCAAAUUUUACUUUGGAUGCCCAUCAGAAAGGUGUAAACUGUGUUGAUUACUUUACAGGUGGUGAUAAGCCCUACCUGAUCACUGGGUCUGAUGAUCACACUGCUAAGGUAUGGGACUACCAAACCAAGAGUUGCGUUCAGACAUUGGAAGGCCACACACACAAUGUUUCUGCAGUUUGUUUCCAUCCUGAACUUCCAAUUAUUAUUACUGGUUCUGAGGAUGGGACAGUUCGAAUCUGGCAUGCUACCACAUAUAGGCUUGAAAAUACAUUGAAUUAUGGUCUCGAGAGAGUUUGGGCAAUUGGAUAUAUAAAAGGUUCACGAAGGAUUGUGAUUGGGUAUGAUGAAGGAACUAUUAUGGUGAAAAUUGGUCGUGAAGUUCCUGUAGCAAGUAUGGAUAACAGUGGGAAAAUAAUUUGGGCUAAGCACAAUGAAAUUCAAACUGUGAAUAUUAAGAGUGUAGGAGCAGAUUUUGAGGUUACUGAUGGAGAAAGGUUGCCCUUGGCUGUAAAGGAAUUAGGGACAUGUGAUCUAUAUCCUCAAAGCUUAAAGCAUAACCCAAAUGGUAGGUUUGUUGUUGUCUGUGGAGAUGGUGAGUACAUCAUAUAUACAGCAUUAGCAUGGAGAAAUAGGUCAUUUGGUUCAGCAUUGGAAUUCGUUUGGUCAUCUGAUGGAGAGUAUGCUGUCAGAGAAAGCUCAUCAAAGAUAAAAAUUUUCAGCAAAAAUUUCCAGGAAAAGAAGAGUGUCCGGCCAACCUUCUCUGCUGAGCGUAUUUUUGGGGGCACUUUACUGGCAAUGUGCUCCAAUGAUUUUAUUUGUUUUUAUAGUUGGGCUGAAUGCAGAUUGAUUCGUCGGAUUGAUGUUACCGUUAAAAAUCUUUACUGGGCUGAUAGUGGUGACUUGGUGGCAAUUGCCAGUGAUACAUCGUUCUAUAUCCUAAAGUACAAUCGGGAUGUAGUUCAAUCAUACUUAGAUAGUGGAACACCAGUUGAUGAACAAGGAGUUGAGGAUGCAUUUGAGCUUCUUCAUGAAACCAAUGAACGUGUUAGGACUGGGAUAUGGGUUGGGGACUGUUUCAUUUACAACAACUCUUCAUGGAGACUUAAUUACUGUGUUGGUGGAGAGGUCACCACAAUGUUUCAUUUGGACCGUCCUAUGUACUUGUUGGGAUAUCUUGCUAGUCAAAGUCGGGUGUAUCUGAUAGACAAAGAGUUUAAUGUAAUGGGAUACACGUUACUUCUCAGCCUUAUUGAGUACAAGACACUUGUGAUGCGUGGAGACUUGGAAAGGGCCAAUGAGAUUUUGCCUUCAAUUCCUAAAGAGCACCUUAAUAGUGUGGCUCGUUUCCUAGAAUCACGAGGUAUGAUAGAUGAUGCUCUAGAAGUUGCUACAGACCCUGAUUACAGAUUUGAGCUUGCCAUUCAGCUUGGUAAAUUAGAGAUUGCCAGGGAAAUAGCCACGGAAGUUCAGAGUGAGUCCAAAUGGAAGCAAUUAGGAGAAUUGGCUAUGUCCACUGGAAAGCUAGAAAUGGCUGAACAAUGCAUGAAGCAUGCAAUGGACCUGAGUGGUUUAUUGCUGCUUUAUUCCUCAUUAGGAGAUGCUGAAGGAAUAUCAAGACUUGCAUCUCUUUCCAAAGAGCAAGGGAAAAACAAUGUUGCUUUUCUUUGUUUAUUCAUGUUGGGUAAAUUAGAGGAUUGCCUUCAGCUUUUGGUGGAAAGUAAUCGGAUACCUGAGGCUGCUCUGAUGGCGCGAUCUUAUCUUCCAAGCAAGGUUUCAGAGAUAGUAGCAAUCUGGAGAAGAGACCUCAACAAGGUUAAUCCAAAAGCUGCUGAAUCUUUGGCUGAUCCUAGAGAGUAUCCAAACUUGUUUGAGGAUUGGGAACUUGCUCUUUCUGUUGAAUCUAAAGUGGCAGAAACAAGGGGUGUUUACCCCCUUGCAGUGGAUUAUUUGAACCAUGCUGAUAGAUCGAAGAUGACACUUGUGGAGGCUUUCAGAAACAUGCAAAUUGAUGAUGAGGAGCCUCUUAUGAAUGAUGAGGAGCCUCUUGUGAAUGGUGUACUUGAUUAUGAGGCUGGAGAACCACAUGGGCAUGGUCUGAAUUCAGAGGAGCAGAAUGGAGAAGAUGGUAGCCAAGAGGAGCCUGUUGUUGUAGAUGCUGAUUCUAACGAUGGUGCAGUACUCGUUAAUGGUAACGAGCCAGAAGAAGAGUGGGGUACGAAUACUGAAGGAACCCCGUCAGCCUAAAAGCAAUUGGUUGGGGCAGUGUGAAAAUCGAAAUUUUGUCUCUGGUGAUUAAUUGUUUCUAACAUGCCAUCUCUACCCCCUUUCUUUUUUGGACUUCUCUGACUCAUUUUUUGUGAUUCGUUUAUUGGACCAGUAACUAACACUCUACCACUAACUGACUUCUAAACAGUUCUCCCGAAUUGUUUUCAUCUUUCUCGUUAUUUGGAAUUUGAUAGAUGUUCUCUGCUGGUUGCAAGUAUCUCCUUUCUUUUUUGUAUUGACAACUUUGUGCGCCAAACUGGGCAAGAUCAAGUUAAUAUGGUACCUAUUGAUAUUGACUAAUAUGAGGCUCAUCUAUUGGCCCUGAUCCAUCCUUCCCUUGCUUACACCAGAUCACUAGGUUUCAUGAAGACAUUCAGUUUGAGCUCCAUUCAUCAUGUACUUAAUCAGAUUUCAAACUAGAAGUUGGAAAGAUGUGAAGUAUAAGGGCUGAUUGUCUUUGCAUUCCCGAUGAUUUGGAUCCCUCAAGCACAUUGAAUUUUGGGAUGGAACAUAUACAAGUUAUUUGGUUAGCUUUCAAAUUAUGACUUUAGUUGCUUAAGUUUUAGCAUAUUCUUUCUGAGGCAUUUGGUCCUAAAAUAAGAAAAUUCUUGUGCCAUAGUGAGUGUAGAAAUAAUUUGAGAAUUUAUUGACGAUUCCCCAAUUCAGUGCAUUUUAUGUUGUUUUUAGGCACUAUUUUUUGGUCCCCUCUUGAGGCCUCGACUCUUCUGGUUGGUUUUUUUGGGGAUUCUCUUUUUUUAGUCUUCAUAUGGAACUUGUACUGUAAACGUAUUUCUACAUAAAACGCAUACUGUUCAAUCACAA